rnacentral:rRNA from 1 species
UACGUAGGGGGCAAGCGUUGUCCGGAAUCAUUGGGCUUAAAGGGCGCGUAGGCGGCGGCGUAAGUUCGUGGUGAAAUCCCAUCGGCUCAACCGUGGAAUUGCUUCGAAUACUGCGUCGCUCGAGGGAGAUAGGGGACCGCAGAACUGCCGGUGGAGCGGUGAAAUGUGUCGAUAUCGGCGGGAAUGCCAGUGCCGAAAGGGGCGGUCUGGACCUCUUCUGACGCUGAGGCGCGAAAGCUAGGGGAGCGAACGGG